AGAAGGAUGCUCCAUAGAAAGUCAUCACUGAAGAGAGGCUCACACUCAUUAUCUGUGUGCCUUACUCACCAGGUGGCGAAGCUGAGGAUGAUAGCUCUACUUCAAGUCAUUUAUUUCAAGGAAACAGACAUCUACAGCAAUCCUCGCUGUGUUAAAAGAAGACCUCCCUUUGCAGGUUCUAGGCACCUGGAAGAUGUUGAGUGCAGCCCUGACGGGAAGUGAGGUUCAGCUGCUGAGCUCACAGACUCAGCCCUUCCUGUCUGCCCCUCGCUUCUGCCUCAAAGCCUCCUAGACGGUUUCUUAUAGUAAGAGGACAUCAAGCUUGCUUUCACCCGGACUUCAGUUGGUCUGCUGUCAUAUGGUGCUGAGUAUUUUUAUGAAGGGUCUGCCAUUUGUUCUGCACGUGUAAGUGGAGUGGAUGUAAAGGGUGGCAAUGUGCUAGGCAUGAUCACGACGUUUUUGUAUCCACAUGGACCCGGAAGGGGGGGGGGUUCCAGCCUCAUGGCGGAUGUCCCCAAGGAAGCAGGAAAAAAGUUCUUACUGUUGAAGAAAAAAAAAUCAGUUCUGAAUCACACCCUCUUGAAAAUGGUGUGUGGAACAAAUUGGGGAGUAUACAGAAAUCACCCCAGCACCCCGAGACACAGUGCUGCCUGUGUAAAACCAUGUGUGCAAGGGAUUGAGUGGCAAGCCAACUGGCUGCUCCCCCACGGAACAACCUUUCCCCUACACUAACAAACGGUGGUUAUUCAGACUUCAGCAUUUGCCAGACAUUUUCCUGAGGCCAUUGAAACACACCCGUCACUCCCGGAAACCCAACUGACAAUGCCGACUUCCCAUGAUGAACUUCAAGCUCUCGUGCGAAAAUCAGAAUAUAGACCAGCUACAUGUAACGAUGUCUUGGUUCGUAAAGGGUUUGUAGUAAUAUUAAUGCUUGCCAGCUAUUUUUUUUUUGUCAGAGAGUAACAGAUUCCAUCAACAUUAGCAAACUGUAUAAAUUAGUGAGUUUCCGAUUGGCUGGUGUAUGGCAUUCGGAGAAUCGAAGGUGAGGAUCCAGUGUGGUCAGAGACGGACUCCUGGGUCUUGAAGUAAAAGAAAUGGGAAGUUUAUUGAUAUGGCUGCAGAGUUCACUUUACAACACGUCUUUAAAGAUCUGUGAUCCGCUGAGUAUUAGAGAAGAACACACAAAAUUAUUUGAAAAGCUCCUCUCUUUCCCAGCUACGUAUUCGUGGGGAUGUUCUUUAUAAAGCCCAAACAAAGGGGCUGGAGAGAUGGCUCAGAGGUUAAGAGCACUGACUGCUCUUCCAGAGGUCGUGAGUUCAAUUCCCAGCAACCACAUGGUGGCUCACAACCAUCUACAAUUCAAUCUGGUGCCCUCUUCUGGUACGUAGGCAGAACACUGUGUAUGUAAUAAAUAAAUAAAUCUUUAAAAAAAAUAAAGCCCAACCAAAAUAACCCAUCAAACUGGAUCAAACUGGAGCCUACUGGCAUCAACAAACCCAGUCCUGGAAUAGGUUUUACAAAAACUGCACAAUAGGCACUAAUCUCACUCUGUCUUUCUUUUGUAAUUAUAACUAUUUUACAUAAAAAUGCAGUAUUAGUGUCAAUGUGUGAUAGAUUUCCUAAUGGUCAUUCUGCAUAAAUUAAUACGUGAAACUUA